AUUUUCUAAAGAGUAAAUAGGAACAUCUUGGAAGGAGACCAUGGCAGAGCUGCUUUUGAUAACUCUUAUGAUUUUCACGUAUUCAAAAGGCUAACUGGCCAGGGUUUUUACAAACUGAGGCCAACGGCUAGGGGUUAAUAGAACAUUUACCUAACAUGUUCAGCCACCAACAUGGGAAAAACAAAAUGGAUUGUCUUUGGCAGAGGCCGAAUUAUGAUAAGCAGAAGCUUCCUUCGGUCCCUUUUAAAGCAACUGUCUUAGUAGAAGAAAAAUAUGUAGGAAUUAGGUAAAGUGUGAGCUGGUAAAUUUGGCUGAACCGCCUCCACUCGAAAACACCGCUUCAUCAGAAAAAGACCUCCGCACUGUCUCCUCUUACAGCCCCAGCGGGGUCGGGUGAUGCGGACAGAAUGGGCCCCGCUAAGGGGCAAGCCUGGCUUAGAGCCCUCCUCCUUGAUCAGCAGGGGUGGGCCCCUGUGGCAAGUGAUCCUGCCUGCCUAAGCCUGUUUCCUCAUCGCUAAGAGAAAAAUGGCUCAUGGCAGUCAGUCGUUGUUAGGGUGUGCAUCUGAAAUGUCCCCCAAAAGCUGGUGUGCAGAAAGCGUGGUCCCUAGCUGGCUUUAUUGAGAAGUGGUGGAAACUGCAGGAGGCCGGCCCAGUGGGAGUAGGCAGGCCACUGGGUUUGCCCUCUGUAUGCUCUCCCUCUCCUCCCCUCCCCUCCCCAGCCCCCUACCCUUCUGCUCCAACUCUGUCUUCUCUCUUUCUCCCCACCUCCCCACUCUUUCCUUAUCCCUUCAUGAGGUGAGCAGCUCUGCCUUCCCACCGCUAACCACCCUAGGAUGUUUUGCCUCACCACAGUCCCCUAGCAACCAGCCCAGGUGGCCAUGGACUGAACCUUCUGAAACUGAGAGCCAAGAUAAAUCUUUCCUCCUCUCAGUUGAUGUUCCUGUAUAUCUUACCACAGUGACACAAAACUGACCAAAAUGCUCAUCCCCUAAGUUUCUUAGGAUGAAAUGAGAAGAGAUGAUCUUGGAAGUCAGCAGUGGUUUUGUUUUUAUCUAUGUCUCAGUCACUUUUCUGUUGCUAGGAUGCAAUCCCUGACACCCACAAGUUAAAGAAAGAGGUUCGUUUUGGCCCACAGUUCUCGAAGUUUCAGUCCGUGGUCGCCUGGCUCAAACACAGAAACCACAUGUUAGGCGCCCAGCAGAUGAAAGCUACUGGGUUCUUGGGGCAGGGAAGUGGGAAGAGCCACGGAGAGAGACACGUUCUUCCAGGUUACACCCCAGUUCCACCUCCUAACGGCUCCCUCACCUCUGAGGUCAUCUGUGAAUUAAUCCACGGAUCGGUCCAUGGUCCAAUCACCUUCCAACAGCUCACCUCUGACCACGUCAGACUCCUGGGGACAUCUGUAUCAAAGUCCUAACAACCUCCUUCCCCCAUACACACACCGUUCUGAACUUCUCGGGAGCCCUUCUCCUAGCUCUACGGCACAAAAACAAGGUAUCACGGUAGAGUUGGGAAGCAGCACGUAGGAUUAUUGGCAUAGCCAAUGUAUCAGUAAAACCAAUACAGCAGAUAAACAGAUGUAAUCAGAAAACGAUUUUGUCAUCCCUUCUUCUGCCCGAUCAAACCUGUUCUGGAGCCUCGGAAUUUGUUUGAACACCCAUGGAUGAACAUUCAAGCAGGCCUCAGCACUUUUCUGGUCAUACUGAAGGUUUGGCAAGGACCUCAAGUCGCUGUCAGUAAUAGGCCCAGGCACACAUACGCAUCCAUCUGAAUUUCCUCUAAGGUUGAGUCAUGUCCCCUGGGGUGAGGAAUGCAGCUCAGUGGUGGAGGCCUGCCUAGCAGGCGAAAGGCCCUGGGUUCCAGCCCAGCUGCACAAAGGAAAAAGAAAAGUCAAACCUUCCUGAAGAGAGACUCUGGGAGCCUUCCUUCCCUCUGUAGACCUUCUCUUCCUCUCUCCUCGCCCACCCAGCCACCCCACGCUGAGUCCGGGUGGAGCUGUUCCAGGGUUGAUGGGUAUUGGAGAGAGGAAUCGCACCGGAAGAGAAGUUCCUGCCGCCCCUGAUAGUGCUGCGAGCUGCUCUUGAGCUCCCUGGGUGUCCGGACAAGGAAAAGGCCCCUCCCUUGGGUCUGCAGUCUUUGCAGCUGGCUAUCCCAGUUUCUCAGCCCCUGGGCCAGCCGCCCUCUGUUUUGCUGGGUUUAUUUCAUCUCUGAGGCAGCGCUGGAAGUGACCACAGCUGGCUUCCCCUCCCAGGCCUGAACGAACUGCACACAGUGGGCCUGCAGAGCUGCGCCUUCCAGCCCCCUGCCUCGCCUGGCCGACCACUCCCGCUCUACACUUCGGAAGCAGGUAUUACGUAUUGCUCACGAGGGCUACUGGAACCGAGAGAAAGUUGCUUUCUGCUGUCAGCGUGGGACUCAAGAGAAGUUUAGCUUACUUUUAGUAAAUAGAAAGCUGAAUUCCUUGGAUGAAUGAAUGAAUGAAUGAAGUUUGAGAACUUGUUGCCACAAUAUAACUUGCAAUAACCUGAGAAUGUACAUAUAGAGUUCAAAAUAUUAAUUAACAUUAUAAUGCCAGAGAUACUAAUAAUCCUCAUGCCCAAAGGCUUUUCUUUCCGUGAAAAUAAUGUACAAGAAAAAUGGGUCAAAAAGCAAACAGGGCCAGGGAUUUAGCUCAGUGGUUCCGCCACCUGCCUCGCAAGCUAAAGACCCAAGUUCGAUCUCCGGUACCAAAAAAAAAAAAGCAGAGAGUUAGACAGUGGUGCAGGCCGUGAGCAUUGCCGUGGACCUUUUUGCACAUCUACGGGAGGGAAUGAGCUGGAGACCACUGAGGCUUUGGCUCCUGGCAACCCUCCAGUGCUUCACUGAGGUGCCAGGGACUACAGUGUGUUUAUCUGGGGACAGUGUGUUGAGUUGUCUGCACGUUUGUUGUGCACAUUUCCAUGUAUUUCUUAUCCUUCCAUAAAGCUGGAAGGGAUGAUGGGUAAACAGGUAUUUGUUUUAUAUUUGUUUAUACCUUGUAUUAAACACCUCUGGUAGAAGGGGGUAGGAGAGUAGUGGUUAUUUAUAGCUUAUUUAUAAUGAAGAGUCUGUCUUACUGUAGUCCCUUAAAAAUUAAACUCAAAAGUUAAGUAAUAAAAUCACUGAAAGUAAACAAAAAAUAAGUUCAUAAUGAAUAAGUCUUUAAAAGACACAGACAGUUAAGCCUCAUCUUUCCUCACAGAGAUUUGGUGUGGUUUAUUUGAGUGGAGCCCAGGCAUCCACAGUUUUAAAAAUGGCUCAUGUGCAUGGCGGUAAUCAUUAUUCUCAGAGUUAAGUGGCUGGUUUCAGAAGCAAAUUAACACCUUCUACACCUCCAUGGUAAGGCUUGGAUUUCACCGGCAAUGAGAUCUGCAUAUCCCUCCGGAUCUCCAACAGCAAGAUCCAUGAGUGGCAGAGCCACUAUGCCUUCAGCCCCAACAACCCCAGACCCAGAUGCAGCCGAGGGCCUGGCCUUCCACCUACAGCGCUGGCCUUUGUCUCUCUUACUCCUGUCUCCCGUGUCCCUGGUGUCUCUUCCUACUGUAGGCUCAAGACUGCCUACCUCUUAAAGCUGCUGGAGAAGUGAGCCCAAUUCCAUAAGGACUGCAGGGGCCAAAGAUGACGCUCCCCUAGUCGUCACUGACUCUCCUUGUUGCACGAGUUACAGACCCGCAGGAGGACACCAGCAUCCUGGCUGGGCCCUGACCAGACCCUUGCACUGCACCCUAACCCUGGCUGGCCAUCCCCGUGACCUGCAGGCCCACAGCCCUUCUAGAACCACCAACCAACUCUACUCGGCACUCUGGCCUACUUGCCACAUGGUAUUUGCUGACCCUUCUGCUCUUUUAAAACCACGCCCAGAGAGCACCAAGCUGCCCUAUAUCACCAAUGAAAAACUCUUAGCCGAAUAAGCUCUGAAAUUUUGUCAUAAAGGUCUAGUUGGUACCAAAGAGUUUGUAAGUUUUUAAGUCAUACCCCAUAUUUUAUCUGUCUUUAUACUGCAUGCAAAAGAGGUGACAUGUAUUGUGCUAUGAUUUAUGAAAACAUCUCUACAUGCACAGGACAACACGAUUGCUGGACCCUGAAGACAUCUUAGCUGGUGACCUACAAACAUCUGCUUGCAGGAUCUUCUUGGAGCAAGCCUUAGACAUCCAGGAAGUAGCAGGAGCCCCAAGGUUCAGUUUCUCAAGAGCACCAAGAAAUGGCCAAUGCUUUAGUUAAGAAUGUGCACCAGCCUGCAGUUCUUCACUGAGGUAUUUUGUCACAGUGACAGAAAGCUGAGCAUCACAAACACAAGGAAGAAGGUCAUGGUAAAUGCAAGCAGAGACUGGAGUGAAGCAGCUAUAAGCCAUGAAUGCUGGGGAGCGUUGGAGCCACCAGAAGCUAUGAAGAGCCAAGGAAGGCUUACUUCUUCCUAGAGUUUUUACCUGGAGUAUAGCCCUACUGCUACCUUGAUUUCAGACUUUUAGCCACCAAAUAAGUGAUGGAAUAAAUUUCUGCUGUUUUAAACCAUUUAGUUUGUGGGAAUUUGUCAUAGCAGCUCCAGGAAAUGAAUAUAUGCAA